rnacentral:lncRNA from 1 species
AUGCUGCUUUGUUUAAUGGCCCGUUUGGUUCAGUUGAGUUUGUGUAUAUGCUGUACUAUAUUGGUUUUGGAUGUGAUCUCUGAAAUACUUGGCAAGCAACAAUUUGCUUCUAUCUUAACUGAGCAUUGCCAGGUUCAGAGCAUUAUACAUGGUGUCUCAGAAUUAAGAAAGCACUCAUACAAAAUAAAAACAGUUUGAUUUUAGAUACAAUCUGUGGGAGAUGAUGUUGACUUGGUCUCAACUUUUAAACAGUGAUUUGUCUUUUUUAAAAGUUGGACGCCAGCAUUUCCUCCUCAGUUUGUCUAAAGUUGUAUCACCGUCUUCCAGACUGUUUUUAUUUUAUAAGCUUCCUUACUUUAGAUACAACCUGUAGUUCCAAUUGAGUGACAGACUGAAAGUAUGUAACUGUAAUUAGGAAAUGACAGCCUCACAUUAAUUUGGUUAUUUUAUUGGUUAAUUCUAACUUAAUGCCUUAAAGUAUGUGUUGAACUGGAGAGCCACCCCCUCAAAUGUAAUGUACUGUAGGUUACAAAGGAUUGCAGGCAAGCUGAAACCAACCAACAGUCGUGGCUGCGAAAACAAAACAAAAAAGUGCAAAACUAUACCAGUAAAUGAACAAAAAAAAAAGUUGUAUUUCAAUGCAGGUUAAUGAGACAGUACAGCUGAUUUUAUUUCAAUUAGCAUUACCAUAAAAUCUGAUAAGAUCAAAUAUUAAAAUUCAUGAAGUGUAAACAGUAAUGCAUGACAAGACAGAAAAAAGUCUCAGUAUUUUUAAGAUUUUAUUUUUAUGUAUAAACACUGUACAUAAAUUACUUUCUCUGAGACUAAUAUUGAUGUACGGAUAAGUGUAUUUUUUUUUUUAAGGUUAAAAAAAAAAAAUCUGUAAAGAUACUCACAUCUCUUGUCAAAAGACUGGUCAGAUAUGAUAUAUGUUUAAUUUCGUCUGUUUUUCUCUCUAAUCUACGUCCGCCACCACUUGAGCUGGUUCAGUAUUGACAUUGAACACUCAGACUUGACUUGAAUACUUGAAUUGUAACAGUGUCCUUUAAGAAAGCGAAGCAGGAAAGAAAGAUCAUGGUCAGUUCACUCACGGCUGUACAUCUCUGUCCAAAACAGUCCACAAAAAACGGUUUACUCUGCUAGCAAGAAGAGCUUUCCAAGUGUUAGUGUAGCUCAGCCUGGUCCACGGUGGCAGCAU